GCGGCGCACGGGUGAGUAACACGUAGGCAAUCUGCCUCGAGGUGGUGGAUAACCCUCCGAAAGGAGGGCUAAUACAGCAUGAGACCACGUCGUCGAAAGACGAUGCGGCCAAAGCCGGCCUCUUCAUGAAAGCUGGCGCCACGAGAUGAGCCUGCGGCCCAUCAGCUAGUUGGUAGGGUAACGGCCUACCAAGGCAAAGACGGGUAGCUGGUCUGAGAGGAUGAUCAGCCACACUGGAACUGAGACACGGUCCAGACUCCUACGGGAGGCAGCAGUGGGGAAUCUUGCGCAAUGGGCGAAAGCCUGACGCAGCGACGCCGCGUGAGCGAUGAAGGCCUUCGGGUUGUAAAGCUCUGUGGAGGGGGACGAAUAAGGGCACGCUAAUACCGUGUUUGAUGACGGUACCCCUUUAGCAAGCACCGGCUAACUCUGUGCCAGCAGCCGCGGUAAGACAGAGGGUG
rnacentral:rRNA from 1 species